rnacentral:SRP_RNA from 1 species
CAACCCGGUCAGGUCCGGAAGGAAGCAGCCGUAACGAGUUUCGGUCCGGGUCGCUGCCAGUCUUCCACCC